rnacentral:rRNA from 1 species
CAGCAGCCACGGUAAUACGUAGGGUGCAAGCGUUAAUCGGAAUUACUGGGCGUAAAGCGUGCGCAGGCGGUUUGUUAAGUCUGCUGUGAAAUCCCAGGGCUCAACCUGGGAAUGGCAGUGGAUACUGGCAAGCUAGAGUGUGUCAGAGGAUGGUGGAAUUCCCGGUGUAGCGGUGAAAUGCGUAGAGAUCGGGAGGAACAUCAGUGGCGAAGGCGGCCAUCUGGGACAACACUGACGCUGAGGCACGAAAGCGCGGGGAGCAAACAGGAUUAGAUACCCGUGUAGUCCCUGUCUCUUAUAA